rnacentral:tRNA from 1 species
AAGAUACUAGUAAAAAGGACUAUUACACUGCCUUGUCAAGACAGAAUCGUAGGUUAAAACCCUGCGUAUCUUAUACA